rnacentral:lncRNA from 1 species
GGCUAGAAACAAUGCUAGUCUGGAAUCACUUCACUCGAUCGAGUGCUCUGUCAUCGAGAGGAAGAGGUAGCGAGGAAGAUUGUUGUUGUAUUUGCUCAUAUGUUUAAACGUAACUUCUCCGUUACAGCCUCCUCUGUGCAUGAGUGUGCCAGCUAGUACAGACGUACAGUACUUCGUCACGACUCCUCUGGCCCAGUGGCUUGCACGGUUGUCUUCCUGGCCUGAGUACUCCGUCGUGGCCGGCGCAACCGUCUAUCCUGCCAGGUGUUGUAACUGUUAAGUGAUAGACAUCCCUCGGUAGCGUCUAGGUUCAGGAGUAGUUAGUCUGUUCCUAAUUUAUAGCAACUCAUGUGUAAUUAUCUUUUUCUUGUUGUAACAAACACCGUAUAACUUGCCACUGCCGGUGGGCUAUUCACCGAGCUAUAUAACACAUAACCCAGGGCUAGGCAACGCACUUGGUUAACCUCA